CACUGCAUCAGUUUGAACAUGUUGAAAAUAUACCUAAAUUUUAUUUUAAACAUUCUUAAGGAACGUACGAGUGUACGACUCUUUAGCACACAUACGUAGACUAAAAUUAGAGACCCUCUCAAAGAAGCAUCUUCAUGACACGGCAGCGAUCACGUGGAGAAAGGCAAAAGAUCUUCG